UUGAACGCUGGCGGCAGGCCUAACCCAUGCAAGUCGAAUGGUAACAGGAAACAGCUUGCUGUUUCGCUGACGAGUGGCGGACGGGUGAGUAAUGUCUGGGAAACUGCCUGAUGGAGGGGGAUAACUACUGGAAACGGUAGCUAAUACCGCAUAACGUCGCAAGACCAAAGAGGGGGACCUUCGGGCCUCUUGCCAUCAGAUGUGCCCAGAUGGGAUUAGCUAGUAGGUGGGGUAACGGCUCACCUAGGCGACGAUCCCUAGCUGGUCUGAGAGGAUGACCAGCCACACUGGAACUGAGACACGGUCCAGACUCCUACGGGAGGCAGCAGUGGGGAAUAUUGCACAAUGGGCGCAAGCCUGAUGCAGCCAUGCCGCGUGUAUGAAGAAGGCCUUCGGGUUGUAAAGUACUUUCAGCGGGGAGGAAGGGAGUAAAGUUAAUACCUUUGCUCAUUGACGUUACCCGCAGAAGAAGCACCGGCUAACUCCGUG
rnacentral:rRNA from 1 species